rnacentral:rRNA from 1 species
GAUGAACGCUGGCGGCGUGCCUAAUACAUGCAAGUCGAGCGAACAGACGAGGAGCUUGCUCCUCGGACGUUAGCGGCGGGCGGGUGAGUAACACGUGUAUAACCUACCUAAAAUUCUGGGAUAACUUCGGGAAACCGGAGCUAAUACCGGAUAAGAUAUUGAAGCGCAUGGUGGAAUAGUGAGAGACGGUGGUGCGGGCUCGUAUAGAUGGAUCCGCGCCGCAUUAGCUAGUUGGUAAGGUAACGGCUUACCAAGGCAACGAUGCGUAGCCGACCUGAGAGGCUGGUCGGCCACACUGGAACUGAGCCACGCUCAUGACUCCUACGGGAGGCAGCAGUAGGGAAUCGUCCGCAAUGGGCGAGAGCCUUACGGAGCAGCCCCGCGUCAGUGAUGACAGUCUUCGGAUCGUAAAAAUCUGUUACUAGGGAAGAACCAAUGUGUCAGUAACUAUGCCCGUCUUGACGGUACCUAAUCAGAAAGCCACGGCUAACUACGUG